rnacentral:lncRNA from 7 species
GUCCCGUGCCGGGUGGUACACAGGUGUCUGUGGCGAGGCGUCUCCUGAGCUCGCGGCCGGAGAUGCUCUGGGUGGGCAUCCAGGUAAAAUUCACAAGUUGACUUGCUGCUCUUUAUUCAUUUUUAAGCAAAAUCAUCCUUGGAGAACAGCAGGCAUAGUUGCUGGAAUUAUUACAGCUGAUUUUGCCCCAGGCACAGUUCACUGGGGAGCUGGUACCUGGGGUUCCACUGAUAUCCCUGUCACUGGCGAGAAUUCUAACAGGACACCUAGCAUCUUGUUAAUCCAACAGCUUCAUUGAGGCCAAUGGAAAUGACUCUUCAACAGCUACAAUUUCACUUGCCUGCCCAUUGCAUGAACUGCCUUCUCGAACAUGAGGUAAUUCCCUCCCUGAACUGGAAUGAGAGCUAGCCUGGUGGAUCCUUUUACAGAGGACAGGAAAAGGGCUCGUGAGCAGAUCCUAUCCAUUCCCUGUGUGCCUUCAAAUGCCCAAGGAGGCUCUUAUGCUUUUGAGUCUUAAGCCUUACACUGAAGGAUACAGAUAGGAUCAAGAAUGGCUGUUUGAAUCUGGCCUUAUCCAACAAGACUUUCAGCUUUUCAAAGCAGAAAUAACGUCUUGGUUUAGACUACACAAGCAUGAAGCACAAAUUUGUGACAGACUGCUUGAAACUUAGAAUGCCAACUGGUACCACUCAUAAGAUUAAAGAAGCAGUGGUUUCAGUGUGAAGGCUAAUGAACGCAUUCAUAUGUUAUGGAAAACUGGAGCAAUUUCAUCUGACACUCCAAUAACACAACAAAAACUGGAUUUUGAAUAGGUAUUAUUAGUUAGUACUGUGCAAAUCUGGGGCGUGAAAGAAGAAAGGAAUGGAGCUUUAGAUGUGUUAUUGCCUUCUGAUACCAAAGUGCUACUGCUGGAUACAGUGCUUAAAGUCAGAACUGGGGUAUGAAAUGAAGCUGUUCAGACAAAUGAAUUUGUGAAUUCAUUCUGUUUCUGAAGUUGCUUGAUAGCAGCUGCUUUGCUGCUAGUUCUGGUUUAAAAUAUAUAAAUGAAUAAGUACUGUUUGUGUUUGGCUAUCUCUGUCUGCUACUGUACUGACUGCAGAGUAACUUCAUUUUCCCUCCCUCAAAUCCAUUCUAAUAUGAAUGUAUUAAACAACAAAACAGUUCGUAUAUUGUCACGUAAACUUUUAACCCUUUCUGCCUAUGCUGGGGAGUUGAAAUAUGUGAGAGGAAUCUGCCUCUAGGAAUUGUAUGGGAAUUAUUGUCCAUGCUUUUCAUUUAAAUUUAUUAUUUUUCUCAAUAUGAAAUUAUUGGAAGAAAUUGAAUAUAUGUAAGUUAGUGUUAAUAAAAAUGCUAUUGC